rnacentral:lncRNA from 1 species
CCAGGCCCCUCCUUUGCGGCUGCUGUGGGGACUUUCGAGAGCAGAGCACACCCCUAAGUGCGUGGAGAGGAGGGAAGCUGAGGCUCAGAGACAUCAUGAGGAUGCCAGCUCAAGGCCCAGCCAGGCCUUGGUCCUCAGCUGCUGUCAUCCAGUAGGGUAAGUGGGACCCCCAGGAGGUGUUGGGGGACACUCCUCCCCUCCCCCACACUCACAGUCUGUUCACCGCCCAAGGCAGCAGGCUGGACUCGGUGCAGGGACCAUGGCUUGGCGUGGCCAGGUUGGAGUGGCCCCUGGGACUGAAAGCAGGGGGCGUGGGGGCUCUGAGGCGGGGCCGAGUGCGGGGACGUCCUGUGGCGGGUACCCUGCUGGGUCCUGGGUGGGGGCCACCACCAGGCAGCUGUGGGAACAUUCCAGACCACCUAGGAGUAGGGCCCCUUCACCGUUUGAAGCUGACUGUAAAAAACAUCUGACCUGUGUGCAAAGCUCAAGCCCAGAGGCCUCCAGGGUGUCCAGCCUCCAGGGUGCCUCCUACGCAGCCUCCACGUCCCCAUCCACUGCAGCCCCUGACCAUCGGGCACACCGUGGGGCCUUCGCUGGCCGCCGGGCCUCAGGUUCUGCUGCACCAAGUGAUUUUUAAAGCCCCAUCUGCCUUUCUCCACUUAUAAAGAACUUG